rnacentral:rRNA from 2 species
AUUAUGGAGAGUUUGAUCCUGGCUCAGAGUGAACGCUGGCGGCGUGCUUAACACAUGCAAGUCGAACGAGAACGGGCUAUAGCUUGCUAUAGUUGUCAGCUAAGUGGCGCACGGGUGAGUAAUGUAUAGGUAAUAUGCCUCUUACUAAGGGAUAACAAAUGGAAACGUUUGCUAAUACCUUAUACUCCUUUUAAACAGAAGUUUAAAAGGGAAAGAUUUAUUGGUAAGAGAUUAGCCUGUAUUGUAUCAGUUAGUUGGUGGGGUAAUGGCUUACCAAGACUAUGACACAUAACUGGUUUGAGAGGAUGAUCAGUCACACUGGAACUGAGACACGGUCCAGACUCCUACGGGAGGCAGCAGUGGGGAAUAUUGCACAAUGGACGGAAGUCUGAUGCAGCAACGCCGCGUGGAGGAUGACACAUUUCGGUGCGUAAACUCCUUUUAUAUAAGAAGAUAAUGACGGUAUUAUAUGAAUAAGCACCGGCUAACUCCGUGCCAGCAGCCGCGGUAAUACGGGGGGUGCAAGCGUUACUCGGAAUCACUGGGCGUAAAGAGCAUGUAGGCGGAUUAAUAAGUUUGAAGUGAAAUCCUAUAGCUUAACUAUAGAACUGCUUUGAAAACUGUUGAUCUAGAAUGUGGGAGAGGUAGAUGGAAUUUCUGGUGUAGGGGUAAAAUCCGUAGAGAUCAGAAGGAAUACCGAUUGCGAAGGCGAUUUACUGGAACACAAUUGACGCUG